UCCCAUUGCAGCUGGAAGGGAGGAGGCUGGCCAGGGGAGGCGGGAGCCAACGACCCAGAAUAGCAAAGAAGACAGAAGCUAAGCACACCCAGAGCUGCUUUUAGCCGGCAAUGUUGGGGGAGUCCCGUGUUCCUGGGGCUGGCGUCUGCCAGGCCACCGACCGUCUGCUGCCUGGCUCCAGCUGCCCGCCCACGGCGGCAUCUGAGUCUACAUCUUCACGUCACCUCUGUCAGGACCUGCCCUCCAGCACAGGCUGUCCCCGGCCCUUGUCUCUUGGAUUCUCACUUGGCACGUGGUGUGGCGUUGUGUCCUUGGGAGUGUUUGUGGUCACUGCUGGGGCCUUGUUUUGCUUCAGCUCAGCAGUCUGGGCAGAAGUGCCAUGGUCCCCCCGGGUGGGGAAUUUGAUGGGAGAAACCCCACCAUGGUUCUGGGGCCCUUGUUCCUAGAGACUGACGAGAUUCGGUCUUUAAGGCUGUGAUGCUGACCGUGACGUGGUCAUUACUGUUAGUUGAAACCGUUCAUGGCGCUGUUCUUUCAGGAACCUUCUUCCCUUGGCUACCAUCUACACGUACCAUUUCUGACACACAUAACCCACCCUCCCCCAUUUGAUUCAGCACAUUUUCAGACUUUUUCCAAUUAUAUAUAUUCACAGAC